rnacentral:rRNA from 1 species
AUGGUCAAGAUCGAAGAUUGUGAUGGGGAUGGCGCCGCCGACCCGCCGCAGCCCAAUCCGGCUCCGGCACCCGCUGCCGUCAAGGCGGAGGAGGCGAUUGAUGAUGGUCAGCCAGGCUCUUCAUCCAGCUAUUUAAGGUCACACUUUAUUGGUAUGGGAUUUUCACCAAUACUGGUCGACAAAAUGCUUCAGAAACAUGGUGAUCAUGAUUCUAACACUAUAUUGGAGUCACUUUUGUCUCAUCAUAAUUCCGGGUCUGAAUCGUCAAGUUCGUUAGGCAGUCUCUUUGAUUCUGACAAUGAAGAAAACAGUUCUAAACAAGACAUCAAGCCGGAGCCAGAUUCUUUCUCAGAAAGGAGGUCAUAUUUACUCCGCACAAUGAACUUCUCACAGACGGAAGUCGAUUUAGCAUUCAACCAAUUAGGUGAGGAUGCACUACUUGAUCAGCUUGUAGAUUUCAUUGUCACUGCUCAGGGAGGAGUAUUACCGGGAGAUAUGGAAAAUGGCCAUGCUACAAAUGAGGUAAAAGCUGAAUCAUUGUUUGGGGUAAUGGAUAAAACGCUUCAUUUGCUUCAGAUGGGUUUUACUGAGGAAGAAGUGUCAUUGGCUAUUGAUAGCUUCGGUCAGGAAGCAGCGGUUCAGGAGCUUGCUGACUCAAUUUUUGCAAGACGUAUUGCCAGUACCAUUGAGCAGAAACAGGUGAAAAUUGAGUCUGAAUUUCUAGGGGAGCAAGGGGAGCAAGAAACUGAAUAUUCAACAUAUCAUCAGAGGUUGAACUAUUAUGAUGAUGACGAUGACAACAAAAGAGUUAAAAAGGCCAAGCAUAUAUUCAGAGAUGAUAGAGGAGCCUCAAGUAGUCAUGCUGUCAAUCAACCUACUCCGUGGUUAAGUGGCGGUGUUGGGUCAGCUGGUGAUGGUUAUUUGAAGGAAGAAGAUUAUGAAAUGACAUUGGGCCCUCGUGCAAAUGUCUCUGGUGAGCUUGCCAAGCCUCCCUUCUUCCUCUAUGGAAAUGUUGUUAACAUCACCAAAGAUGCGUGGUCUGAAAUAUCGGGUUUCUUGUCCGGUGUGCGGCCUGAGUUUAUAAAUAGUCAGCUUUUCUCGGCUUUGAUGCGAAGGGAAGGUUACCUUCAUAACCUUCCAACAGAGAGAAGGCAUGUUGUGGUUCCGAAGUCACCAAUGACAAUUGAGGAUGCAGUGCCUUCCACAAGACAUUACUGGCCCACAUGGGAUACCAGAAAACAUAUUGGUAGUGUUACUUCAGAGGUGGCAGGAAUUGAACAACUUUGUGAGAUGUUGGGAAAGACCAUAAAAGAUUCACGAGGACUUCUUUCAGAAGAAAAACGAGCGCAGAUCUUGCACCAAUGCAAGAUGGCAAAUCUUAUCUGGAUUGGUCAAGACCGGCUAGGCCCUCUGCAGCCAAAUCAAAUGGAGCGGAUAUUAGGUUACCCAUCAAACCAUACAAAUCUGUUUGGUCUAAACCCACCGGACAGGAUUGCUGCUAUGAAAUACGCUUUUCAAACGGACACCAUUGCUUAUCUUUUGUCAGUUCUAAAAGACAUCUAUCCAGAUGGUUUGAGGGUACUAUCCAUCUAUAGUGGAGUUGGGGGUGCAGAAAUUGCGCUGCAUCGUCUCGGUAUUCCACUAAAGUGUGUAGUGUCUGUUGAAGAGUCUGAUGUGAACAGGAAAAUUCUGAAAAGAUGGUGGGCAAAAACAGAGCAGAGCGGAGUUCUGAGACAACUAAAUGGCAUAUGGAAGCUAAAGACCGAUGCACUUGAGGACCUAUUUAAGGAAUUUGGUGGCUUUGACUUAGUUGUUGGCGGAAAUUACAGUUCAUAUAGAGGUGGGACGACAGUAAAUGCAACUAUGGGGAUGGACUCCAGUAAAUACUUUGAGUACGUUCGUGUUCUUCAAAGAGUGAGAAGUAUGCAGCACUUUUAUAAGUAG